AGAGUUUGAUCCUGGCUCAGGACGAACGCUGGCGGCGUGCCUAACACAUGCAAGUCGAGCGGAGAUAGGGCUUCGGUUCUAUUUCAGCGGCGGACGGGUGAGUAACGCGUGAACAAUCUGUCCUAUACAGGGGGAUAACACUUGGAAACAGGUGCUAAUACCGCAUAAGCCCACAUCCCGGCAUCGGGGAGGGGGAAAAGGGGAGACUCGGUAUAGGGUGAGUUCGCGUCCCAUUAGCUAGUUGGCGGGGUGAAGGCCCACCAAGGCGACGAUGGGUAGCCGACCUGAGAGGGUGAUCGGCCACACUGGAACUGAGAAACGGUCCAGACUCCUACGGGAGGCAGCAGUGGGGAAUAUUGGGCAAUGGGGGAAACCCUGACCCAGCAACGCCGCGUGAGGGAAGAAGGCUUUCGGGUCGUAAACCUCUGUCCCAUGGGAAGAGCAGAAGACGGUACCAUGGGAGGAAGCCCCGGCUAACUACGUGCCAGCAGCCGCGGUAAUACGUAGGGGGCGAGCGUUGUCCGGAAUGACUGGGCGUAAAGGGCGCGUAGGUGGCUUUACAAGUCUGGAGUGAAAGUCCCGUUUUUAAGGUGGGAAUGGCUUUGGAAACUGUAAGGCUUGAGUGUGGGAGAGGAUAGCGGAAUUCCCGGUGUAGCGGUGAAAUGCGUAGAGAUCGGGAGGAACACCAGUGGCGAAGGCGGCUAUCUGGACCAAGACUGACACUGAAGCGCGAAAGCGUGGGUAGCAAACAGGAUUAGAUACCCUGGUAGUCCACGCUGUAAACGAUGGAUGCUAGGUGUAGGAGGUAUCGACCCCUUCUGUGCCGGAG
rnacentral:rRNA from 1 species